AACGAACGCUGGCGGCAUGCCUAACACAUGCAAGUCGAACGAGACCUUCGGGUCUAGUGGCGCACGGGUGCGUAACGCGUGGGAACCUGCCCUUAGGUUCGGAAUAACUCCCCGAAAGGGGUGCUAAUACCGGAUAAUGUCUUCGGACCAAAGAUUUAUCGCCUUUGGAUGGGCCCUCGUUGGAUUAGCUAGUUGGUAGGGUAAAGGCCUACCAAGGCGACGAUCCAUAGCUGGUUUGAGAGGAGGAUCAGCCACACUGGGACUGAGACACGGCCCAGACUCCUACGGGAGGCAGGAGUGGGGAAUAUUGGACAAUGGGGGAAGGCCUGAUCCAGCAAUGCCGCGUAAGUGAUGAAGGCCUUAGUGUUGUAAAGCUCUUUUACCCGGGAUGAUAAUGACAGUACCGGGAGAAUAAGCUCCGGCUAACUCCGUG
rnacentral:rRNA from 1 species